ACUCACCUUGGUGAUGGGAGCCUCAAUGGUCAUGGAGUGGAUYCUUGCCAUGGAUGGAUAGCGACGAUUCUGCAAGCUUGGUGCUGGCGAGAAGGAAAGCCAAAGAAAUCAUCAAAACUUCUUACCAUCACUGCCUCGAGAUGAUAUGGAUUUCACAUCAAUGGACUCUUUCCUUCUGUUCUUAUAUCUGAAUGAAUGAGGUUCUGAGGAUUUCAGAUCAGAAGAGGAGAAAUGAUUACUUUUCAGCACAUUCAUAGACCCACAGGCCAGCUGACUGAACGAUGGAGCUCCUGAAACCUCAACAUGGGCUGUGUGCUGUCUGGAGAGGAACCAAAUGAAGCAUAAGGUCCAGCAGAUUUGCAAACCAAUCGGGUUUUUCUUGGGAGAAUGUAYCCCAUCCACUGAGGGUAAGAAGAGUGACUAGGGAAGGAUGCAGAGCACAGGUACUAGUCCCAUCUUCUGGGGUGUCUCUGCUGCAUCUUUCUCCACACAGGAUGCUGCACAUGGUACUUUCUAAGCUGGAUGCACUGUCCCCAGAUUGGCUCAUGGGCCUUUGAACUGCUCUCUCUCUGCGUCUACUGCCAGCAGGAGAGCCCAGAGAUACUCUUUGCUUUGAAAUCAGAGAUUCCCCAGGGCUGCAUCAGCAUCUACUGCCCAGAUCCUUUGUUGUGAUUCACUUUGUGAUGCUUUGAACCAGUGGCAGAACCAGAAGACCUAUCUCUGUCACACCCCAGCAGUGCUGGGUUUUUAACUGAAGCUCUCUGAUGAUCUGUGUGCCUCUCCUGAAUAUUCCAUUUUACAACUUGAGUUCACUUAGAUGACAAAUUCUCUUAGAAUGGGAAUUUCUUCUAGAGAUCUAAACCCACCAGUCAUUUAUAACUUGGUAGGACUUAUUCUAUCAAAAUUAUUUUCCUCAUAACCCCUAGUUGAGCUGAGAAUAUAAAUAGGGGGAUGAGUGGUUCUGUAGUUCCAUGUUCUCUGUGGUGGGCAGCUCGGGGAGGCUCACAGGCUUGAGGACUAUGGGGCAGGAAGAGGGUUAAGCUUCACCCUGUGACAACACACAUCUCUUACAUGUUUCCCAAGGACUGACAGCUUUCCAUUUGCAAUGUAAUCAUUACAACACCCUUGCAAGUGGGGAAGUAGCACCAUUCCUUUGGACAGACAAGGAAGUUGAGGUUUUAAACUUCCCUAUGACACACAGCUAGUACACAGAGCUCAACAUCAAGCCAUGGUCCAAAACCAAUUGCUCYGUCAGAGAAAGGCUCCAGAAAGGAAUUUUCAUGCUUUGACUUAUUAAACUGGGGUCUAAGGAAAUAUCUCUUGGAUCUAUGCACAACAUCUAUUUGAAAAAUAAUUCUCCUUGAGAUUUUGGGGAUGGUUUGAAUUUCUCUGAUCAAAAGGUUUUAUCACAUGUUUGCUAAAGCAAAAAGGUCAGAAUUCAAUGUACUCAUGCCAUCACUCUUUACACAGUGUGAUGUGUUUUUCCCUUCAUAAAAUCUUAAAAUGUAGAAUAUUUUCAUGUGCAGAACUGGCGUGGAAUGGUGACACUGUGCAUUACUGGAAAAACAGAGGCUUUGGCACUAUGGUUUAUGCAACAUGAAAUCCACCAUCCCUGGCCUGUGAAGUUCUCUGUCAGAGCUCAAAGCUAGAGUUUCUCAGCAUGUCCUUGGGGACUUCCAGCUUAAGGGAGGACUCAUAAUUUUAAACCUUUAAUUACUUAAAAUACCAUAGGCUGCCACAAAUUUUGCUGUUGUGCUAAAUGCUAUGUUUACAAACACUUACUUAUGCUUAACUCUAAAAAGCAUUGUUUCUUAAAAAAUAAUCACUUAAAAAUUAUAUUUUCCUCCUCCACACCCACCACCAGAAUGUCUAAAACUAAAGAAAAAAUUUUUUCAAGGAUGAAGAUCUACUGAAACCUUUAACAUGAUGUUGGAGGGAAYAUAAAAUGGUAUGACCAC